GGUCAAGCAAUAAGGGCAUACGGUGGAUGCCUUGGCAUCAAGGGCCGAAGAAGGGCGUGGCAAGACUGCGAAAAGCCCCGGUUAGCUGUCUAGCAAGCUUAACCAGGGAUUCCCGAAUGGGGCAACCCGUCCCGAUAAAAUCGGGACACCCCCGGCCGAACACAUAAGCCGGGAGGAGGUAAGCGGGGGAAGUGAAACAUCUCAGUACCCCGAGGAAAAUAGAAAGACAUUUAUUCCCCGAGUAGUGGCGAACGAAAGGGGAGAAGCCUAAACCCGGUAAACUUAACGGUAUCAGGGCCUAUGUUUACCGGGAGUCGUAAGGCAGUUAGGACCGAACCUGGAAUAGGUCAAGGAGUUAUCAACCCAACCCUAGUUAAAGGUCCCUGGAAAGGGCCACCAUAGAGGGUGAGAGUCCCGUAAACGAAAGGGGUAGGCUCCUUAUCUGUCCUUGAGUACCACGGGACACGAGGAAUCCUGUGGGAAGCUACCCUGACCACAGGGUAAGGCUAAAUACCCUUGAUGACCGAUAGUGAACUAGUACCGUGAGGGAAAGGUGAAAAGAACCCCGUGAGGGGAGUGAAAUAGUCCCUGAAACCGUAUGCUUACAAGCAGUUAGAGUCCUGGUGCAAACCGGGAUGAUAGCGUGCCUAUUGAAGAAUGAGCCGGUGAGUUGAUCUAUGUGGCUGGUUAAGCAACUGGCGUUGCGGAGCCGAAGCGAAAGCGAGUCUUAAUAGGGCGUUUAUAGUCGCAUGGAUCAGACCCGAAGCCGGGUGAGCUACCCAUGGCCAGGGUGAAGCUCCGAUAGAAUC
rnacentral:ncRNA from 1 species